CGGAGAAAGGAGAGAGAGAGAGAGAUCGAGAGAAAAAGAGAGACAGAGAAAUAGAGAGGCAGAGAUGCAGACGAGGGCGCCACCCAAAUCUUCUGCCAUCACUGAAAGCCUCCACUCACUACUCGACUAUCGGAAUCGCUACUGAAAUAGGGAGAGGCGAUGUAACAGAGAGAGGCCGAGAAAGAUAGAGGCGAUGAAAUAGAGAGAGGAUGAGGCCUGGGACACGGACAAAGAAACAGAGAAAGAGGCAGAACGGUAAACGCUGCAUCGAUUGGGCACGGUUUACGUUUUUGGUCCAGCACCACCUAUCUCCGGCUCCAUUCAACCGCAACCUCAACGUACGCGCAACAAUUUGCCUCUCCCUCUUUUAUUUUCUUCUCACAAAACCUAAACCCAAUGCAUCAAACUUCUUCCUCCGGCAACGUCUCCAUCUGCUCCUCCUCCUCCUUACCUCUCCGGACGGCGUCCACUCACCAAGUUGAGUUUUUCAUUAGUUUUGAGUGAACUUCUGGCUUUAUGGGUUUAGUAUUUAAUUGGGUUUUAUGAGUUUUGUGUGUUUGUAGUGGAAAUUUGAGGUUUUUAAAUCAUAGAUUUACUGAGAUUUAUAGUGAAUUAUUUAAUAGUUUGAUUAGCUUAAUUUUUACUUUAAAUAACUGAAAAAUUAUGCUUAUCACCUUAAAUAACCCCUAAAUCCUAGAUCUCUACGGAUGGAGAAAGAAGGUUCAGUGAGGACUUGGGGAUUUUUACAUACUAAUAUUGCCAAUGACCUAAUUUUCUUGAAUUUGUCCUUCAAAUAUUGCUCUAAUGCAUGCCUUACAAGGUUCUCAUAGCAUAAAUGUAUUUAGUAUAUAUUCUAUCUUUCUGUACAUUGAUCUGUUGGUAUGGUUGUCACUCAUGCACAACCCGUGGUUGAAGUUAUAUGCAUGGAGAAUGGUGUUGUGUGCUGUAGUGUUGAGUUUUAUUGUGAUGAUGAUGUGAAAUAUUGAUCUCCAAUCUCACCGUUAUAGUCUUAAAAGUCCUCUGUUUUAUUUUUCCCCACUUUACAGUGGACCUUUGAGGGCUUACGUUGAAGGUUUGUGUUUAUUUUAUCUUUUCUCAUCAGGUCCUUUUCUGUUUUUGUGUGUGUGUGGGCUGUGCUUUCGUGCAAAUUUGAGUAAUAAAAUUGCUCAACAUAAUUUCAUGGUGUGGUUAUCUUAGUUCUAAAAUAUAGUCAACAAGUUGCAAGUUACAGGAAAUUAGAAAUAUUUCUAAUUGCUCCAGUAUUUCUACAAAGUGAACAUUCGUAUCUUAUUCUAAGUUGCAUGUUUAAGAGUGAUUUGGGAGGGCAAAGAGUAUUUGAUCUCAAUCAGUUCUGAUUGUGUUUGUUUUGUUUGUGAAGUUAAUCUUAUCGUGCUCCACUUAUUUAUUUGGGUGAGUUGAAGCAUCCUUUCCAAGUUUGACUAAAUGGUUGGUUGUCUCUGCAGAAGAUGAUGGUAACCUGGCAAAGAAGUGGUCUACUAAAGAACAUCUCUACCCAAUCCGCAAGCUUGAUCAGUCUAAACUGACGUUAAAAGAAAAGAACUAUGACAAGGUUUUUUUGGUUAUAAGUAAUAAAGAUUCAAGUAAUUGGAUGAACUGUUCUAAAAAGUGAUUUGGGUUUUGAAAGAUUGGAUCUUGAGGGCAAAGAGUAGCUGGCAUCAGAUCUCUAAGUUGCAGGCCUAAAUCAAAUGGUUGGUGUUUGAUGGUUAUUUGGAGUGCAGUUUAAUUAUAUUUUGGAGGGUUUAAUUUGAGAGAUUAUAUAAGUUUACCACAAUAUUUAUGUUUAUUGUGCGUGAGUUCAUAUUAGUAGGUUUCUAAAAUUUUGCUCAAGUUUUAUUGACAAAAAACAGUUCUGAAUUCAAAGUUAUUGUUAUGAUCUAUGUGAAGUAUUAAAACUAUUGAUUUUCAUAUACAUAUUUUGUGGUCUUUGGUGAACUUGCAUUGGGUUAGUGAUGUGGAAUUAAGUUAAUUAAGACCAUUUGGUGUCAAAGCAUAUGAGAAAGUGGAUUAUUGAUAUAUGGAUGCAUUUACAAUUUCUUAUAGCAUUAUUCUUGAGAAAUCAAAAGGCAUAUAUUACACCUUUAUGCAAAGCUUUUUUGUGCAAUUGGCCUUAUACUUUUUAGAAUUGUAAGCUUUGAUUUAGAACCAUUAGAUUUUCCCCAUGAGGAUCUUCACUUGGGAAUCAGAUUAAAUGGAUUGAAUUGCAUAUUUGAGGUUUGAAGAACAAAGCCAGUCAAUUUUAUUUCUUUUAGAAGAACACCUGCGCUUUAGCAUCAUCAUUUGAACAACUAACCAUCUACCCCCUUCCAUAUUUUACCAUCACAUUAGGUGAAAUGGACCAGCCUUAAAAAGCAACUUUUUCUUGGAAAACCACACAGACCACAGAACUCCCAACCACCACAGCCAUAAACAAGGAGUUAACAGAGCCAUCCUCAUAUAAAGCAUUAAUACAAUGUUUUACUCAGAAUCCAAUUGACUAUGGUUGCAACAGAUCAAGUCUGACACCACAUUCACAAGCAAACCAAACUGCUCUAGCGAUAGAACAAGAUAAAAACCAGUGGUUUGCAAUCACUUCAUUCUCACCACAAAGUACACAUGCAGAAGAUAUAAUUUAAUUUGUCUUUUAACCAACUUUUCUUUAACAGGUACAGCAUUGUGUACUAACUUCCAAAAGAAAAGGCCAAGCAUUCGAAAGGCAAUUUCAGCUUCCAUAACCUGGUGCUAAGUUUCUGACUGACAGAAGAAGCAGAAUUCAAUUGAUCAUCUAAGCUUUUGUGAUUUAUAUGGAUGAUACUCUUUCUGCACAAAAUAAAUCCUAGACUGAGUGUGGUUAAAUGACCUUAUUCUUAAGAUUCCCAUUGGACAGAGGCAAUUCUUAAAAUCUCAUCUGCCACUGAAGGAUGGUAAAGGGUCUUAAUGAAAAAGGUCUUCCAGCAAAAUCCAUCUUGAUCAAUCAGAUCUGCCACAAAAUGCACAGAAGAACUAGGACCAUUAUCCACCCUCUCUUUCAUGAUAAACCAAGCUGGGUGAUUAAAUGGGAUAGAUUUACCAUCCCCUACACGCCACUUAGCCUUAGUCAAAACUAAAUUUCUACAAUAGAGUAUACCUUCCCAACCCCAAAAAUUGAAACAUCUCAUCCUAACACUGAAUAUAUUAUUUUGUCUACAAUUUUUGGCCUGCAACACCUUAAAGAACAAACAAUUUUGAUUCAAAGCAACUCUCCAAAAUUGUUUAGCUAACAAUUCUUUGUUCAAAUGUCCCAUCUUCCUACAACCCAGCCCCAUUCUCUUUUUUGGAAAACAAAUUGUGAUCAAAUUCAUAGAAUGAACUUUCUAACACCUUCUAAAUGGUCCCAAAAAUGAUAGAGAGGCAGUGAAGUAAGCACAGGUUUGAGCAAAGUCAAUCUUCCAGCCAGAGACAACAGUUUUGCCUUCAACCAAACUUCUAAACAGGUUAAAUGCUAAUUUGAAUAAAUUGAGAAUAUUUUAGACGUAUGUUAUUGGAUAUUUGGGUAUUGGUUAAGUAUGUGGAACUUUUGUGCCAUUAGAUGGCUCACGCAUUAGGCAACGCUGAAGAUAGGAAAUUGUGGCCUCUCCCUAUUGCUAAGCAUUUUAUUGAUGUGUUGGUGGAAGAACUUAAAGGAAACAUGCCACAAGGUAUGUUUAAGAAAGGUCUUUGGGGUUUUAUCCAAAAAGAGUUUAACCGACAUGCUAGUAAAAACUACCAUAAAGACCAAGUAAGGUAGAAAUUUCAAAGGUUGAAGGUUAGACAUCGUGUAUUUUUUGAGCUAAUCGGACAUUCAAGGAUGGGUUGGGAUUCCCAUACAAACAUAGUGAUAGGAAGUGAAGAGGUUUGGACAAAUGCAAUUGCGCCCAACCCUAAAUGCAAGGAGUUCCGGAAAAAGGGCCUUGAUCACUAUGACUUGUUGGGACAACUUUUCAACAAAAGCACUGCCACUGGAUUCCUUCAAAUUUCAUCAGCCCAACCAGCCCCAAACAGUGAUGAAGAGUGAGAGCUAGACGAGGGAUUUCUAUCAGCUAGAGUACAUGUGCAUUUAGAAGCUGAUAGUGGAGAUGCCAUAGAGGAGCUGGCCACACCAAUUGAAGAGCAAAGCAGGUGUAUUGAAAAGCAUGUAGCCCAACCAGAGCAUUCCAAGUAGAAGAAGAAAGGAGAGAUACUUGGUGAAAUGACUGAGGCUAUCAAGGGCUUCACGGAAGUGUCAAAGGUACGGCUCAUAGCUAAUAAGAGUAGAAAGCAAACCGGUGAGUCUUUUGUGAGGAGUGAAAGGUUCUCCAUUGACAAAGCUGUUGAGGUGCUUAACUCAUAUGAUCACUUAUAUGAUUUCACCCACUACAAGGUUCUAAAGGUACUCCUUAAUCCCAAUGUUAGGGCUGCUUUAAUUUCCGUGAAGUUGGAAAGCAGAAGAGCUUGGAUGGAAUUAGUUGGGAAUGGAUAUUAGGCAGGAUUGCUUUUGUUGGGUUUGCUUUGUUUUGUUGUUGUGUUGGGCUUGUUUGGUAGUGUGCCACAUAUUUUGGAUAUAAUGUUAGUAGUUAUGUUUUUAUGUUAGUGGUAGAAUAUGAACUAAGUGACAGAAAAAUGGAAGUAGUUAUAUUUUUAUGUUAUUACGAACUAAGUGCAGUUAUAUUUUUAUUUUAUUAUAGACUAAGUGCUGUUAGGGAUUUAUAUAUGGCGUGCACUUUUAUAUAUAGUAUUGUUGACUUAUGUUGUCUUUGAUAUUACACAUAUUUUAUUUAAAGCUAUAUUCUAAUAUUCAUGAUUUAUCAUUGUUGUAUUAAUCAUAGUUGUGAUUCAAUCAUGGCCAAUUAUGGUUCAGACUAUGAUGAAAGUGAUGUAGAGCCUGAAAUAGCAACAAGUUAUGUGUUUGAGUGUAUCCAGUAUGUGCAAAAAUAUUAUCUCAAAAGUCCUAGAUGCAAUAGUAUUUUGACUUGGAGGUCUUUCAUGGAUGUAAUAAUUGAAGAAAAUCCCUAAGCAUUUUAUGAAAUGUUUUGCAUGGACAUUAACAUCUUUCAGCAUUUAUGUAAUGAUUUGAAAAUGCUAUACUUGUUAGAGGAAGAUAUUGGAAUUGUCUCAGUUGAGGAGGUUGUUGGGACGCUUUUAUAUAUUGUUGGGCAUAAUAAAAACAUGAGGUUGGCUGCAAACCGCUCCCAACAUUCACUUGAAACCAUUCAACAGAGAUUUUAUCGUGCAUUAAGGGCAAUUCAUUCAUUGAGAUUCAUGAUAAUUAGGCCAGAUUAUGGUGCAAAUGAGCACCCUGGUCAUUUUUGUGAAAAUGGGAUGUAUUAUCCAUGGUUUAAGGUAUGAUACUUUUUCCUAUUUAUAAUAAAUAUUUCAUACUUAUCAAAGAUAAAUAAUAAAUAUUUCAUAAUAUGCUGGUGUAUACUCAGGUUAUACUUGCAUGUGUCUGUUUUUGGAAAAUUUUCAAUGAAACUUAAAUUACUUAUUAAAAAUAAAAAAAUUUCUUAUUAUAUAUUGAUGUCACGUAAUGGUUUGUUAAUAACAAUUUAUAGGAGCUAUUGAUGGUAUCCAUUUUCAGUACUUCCAACUCCAUCUCGUAACAGUAUCACAUUUAGAGAUAGGAAAAGUAAGAUAACACAGAAUGUUAUGUGUGCAUACAUCUUUGAUAUAAGGUUUACAUACAUUCAUGCUAGAUGGGAGGGUGAUGCAAACAAUUCUAGGGUGAUGCAAGAGGCUCUUGGAGACGCUAAGUAUCAAUUCCCUUGGUCUGCUAGAGGUUACAAAAAUAAUUAUAAUUUCUUACCUCAUGGCCGUAGAUAUUAACCUAAUGUUUUUAAACUUGUCUUACUUUACUCAUGUUAAGACUUAUUUUCGAUUAUUGCAGGAUCCUAUUAUCUUAGGUAUUGCAUUCCUCCCACCACAGAAGUCAGAAAGACACCAUGCUCGAGAAUACCAAGGUGCUAACAGACAAAUUACAAACCUCCAAGAAUUAUUUAAUUAUAGGCAUUCCUCAUUGCGAAUGGUUAUUGAAUGAUGUUUUGGUGUUCUAAAGGCAAGGUUUCCUAUUCUAAAUGACAUGCACUCUUAUUCACCAGCCAAACAACAACUCGUUGUCACAGCAUGUUGUGCAUUGCAUAACUUCAUACACAUGCAUAACUGGUCAGAUAAUCUGUUUCAUGCAUGGGAAGAACAAGAUGUUGAAGUAUCACUGUAUGUGAUACAAAUAACUCAAGUGAUGCAAGAGUUGGAAGUGGCAAGAAUGAAGAAGCCUUUAAUCUACAAGCACAACGAGCCAUGACUUGGUAUCAUGAUGAGAUCACUGAAGCAAUGUGGGAAGAUUAUAGAACCCAACAUGGUUGAACAUAUGAAGCAAGUAUUUGUGGAUAACUAUAGUCAUGUAUUUUGUAAACUUUUUAAGUACUUGUAUUUUGUGAACUAUGUUCGUUUUUUUAACAGUUACGUGAGAUUAUUAUUUUGUUGUAGUUUAUUUGUAGUCAACUAUAUAUUCAUGGCCAUAUAUUCGUGAAUUAUUAUUCAUAUUGUCAGUA